UACGUAGGGGGCAAGCGUUGUCCGGAUUUAUUGGGCGUAAAGAGCGUGUAGGCGGCCAAGCAGGUCAGCUGUGAAAACUCGAGGCUCAACCUCGAGACGUCGGUUGAAACCGCUUGGCUAGGGUCCGGAAGAGGAGAGUGGAAUUCCCGGUGUAGCGGUGAGAUGCGUAGAUAUCGGGAGGAACACCUGUGGCGAAAGCGGCUCACUGGACCAUAACUGACGCUGAUGCACGAAAGCUGGGGGAGCAAACAGG
rnacentral:rRNA from 1 species